GUGGGAUGGGAGCGUGUUGAGACCACGAGAAAAAGUGUUAAACGACGACGUUUUAGCAUAACGUCGUGUCACUUUCUUUACCUUUCUUCCUCCAUCGUCUCAAAACUAUCUCCUUCUCUACCACUUCCCUCACCUUUACCAACACUCACACACACACCAAAGACUACUACACUCAUCUUCUGCAAUGGCUGCCAUUACCGCAUUCUCCUCCGCUCUCUCAAGCCCCAUCUCUCCUCCUACGGCGUCUCCUUUACUCAGCUCCCCUCCGUCUCUCUCCAGAUUCCCGAACGCGUCUCCGUUUCCCUCACUCUCUACCUCUCGCCGGAGAAAUAUUCUAGCGUUUUCUUCGAUUAACAACGGAGAUGACGCGGUUGAAGAAACAAGAAGUGAUGAUGAUGAUAGUAGAGAGACUCUGAUGUUAUCAGUCUCUCCUCUGCCUCUCCUCCUCGUUGCUACUCUCCCUGGAGCUGGAACUGUAAGAUCUGUUAUUGGACCCUUUGUGGAGAUUGUGAAGUCACUGAAUCUCCCUGAUUGGCUUGUUCAUUGGGGUCAUCCUGGUAACAUGGCAGUGGUUCUUUUUGCUAUGGGUGGAUAUGGAACAUACCUAGGCUUCAGGAUUCGUUAUUCAGAUGACAUUGAGGAGAAGGCAAAGGCGAAAGACCUGCACCCGAAGCUCCUAGCUGGAAUGUUUUUCUUCUUCUCCCUUGGAGCAACCGGUGGUAUCACAUCCCUUCUUACCUCAGACAAACCCAUCUUCGAAAGCCUGCACGCUGUUACAGGAUUCAUAGGUCUUGCACUCUUGACGAUUCAAACAGUCUUACCAACUUUGUUCAAGGACAAGCCUGAGCUGAGGGGGGUGCACGGGAUCCUGGGUAGUGGGAUAAUGGCGCUUUUCCUAGUCCAUGCUGCUUUCGGACUUCAGCUCGGUCUCAGUUACUAGAUCUCUUCCUCUCAUAUGUUUUGUGUUCUUGAGCUGCAACCACAACCAUGUAGUGACUUGAGAAGAUAUAUAGAAGCAAUAAAUUUGUAUAAUUUUUAUGCUAUAUAUAAAUUUAUGCUUAUAUUUUCUGUUUUUGUUUUUUGAACGAAUAUACCAACCAAUAUGCCUCGGUGAUUUGGGUUUUCGGUUCAGUUUCCUAGUAUAUGUUUUUCUUGAUUUUGGUUAAUAAGAUUUCGGGUUUAAACAAAUUUUAUAA